rnacentral:rRNA from 1 species
UCCAGCAGCCAUAUCACCCUGCAACUCACAACUGGUAACCCUCUGAAACUAUGCAGUUGUGAGCCUGGUCAGUACCUGUAUGGGAGACCUUCUGGGAAAAACUAAGGUUGCUGCUGGAA